rnacentral:rRNA from 1 species
AGAGUUUGAUCCUGGCUCAGGAUGAACGCUAGCUACAGGCUUAACACAUGCAAGUCGCGGGGCAGCAUGGGGGUUGCUUGCAACCCCUGAUGGCGACCGGCGCACGGGUGAGUAACGCGUAUCCAACCUGCCCUUCACCACGGGAUAACCCGGCGAAAGUCGGACUAAUACCGUAUGUUGUCCAUUGACGGCAUCCGAUUUGGACGAAAGGCUUAGCGGUGAGGGAUGGGGAUGCGUCCGAUUAGCUUGACGGCGGGGUAACGGCCCACCGUGGCUACGAUCGGUAGGGGUUCUGAGAGGAAGGUCCCCCACACUGGAACUGAGACACGGUCCAGACUCCUACGGGAGGCAGCAGUGAGGAAUAUUGGUCAAUGGGCGUAAGCCUGAACCAGCCAAGUAGCGUGCAGGAUGACGGCCCUAUGGGUUGUAAACUGCUUUUAUGCGGGGAUAAAUGAGCCCACGUGUGGGUUUUUGCAGGUACCGCAUGAAUAAGGACCGGCUAAUUCCGUGCCAGCAGCCGCGGUAAUACGGAAGGUCCGGGCGUUAUCCGGAUUUAUUGGGUUUAAAGGGAGCGUAGGCCGCCCCUUAAGCGUGUUGUGAAAUGCGGGUGCUCAACAUCCGACUUGCAGCGCGAACUGGGGGGCUUGAGUGCGCCGAAAGUAGGCGGAAUUCGUGGUGUAGCGGUGAAAUGCUUAGAUAUCACGAAGAACUCCGAUUGCGAAGGCAGCUUACUGUAGCGCAACUGACGCUGAUGCUCGAAAGCGUGGGUAUCGAACAGGAUUAGAUACCCUGGUAGUCCACGCGGUAAACGAUGGAUGCUCGUUGUCGGCCUGUGUGGUCGGUGACCAAGCGAAAGCGUUAAGCAUCCCACCUGGGGAGUACGCCGGCAACGGUGAAACUCAAAGGAAUUGACGGGGGCCCG